AAAGACGCCUUGCAGGGACCCCUACUCCUGGCAAAGCAAGAAAGCUCAAUGCCACUAGCGGUAUCUACGUCUCUACUCCUAACGGCACCUUACACUCUGCCUUCGGAGGAAUCUUGUGUCAGUCUCCGGUCCUCAGACUACCCAUGUCUGUCAGCAAGCUUCCUCUGAGGACCCCGG